rnacentral:rRNA from 1 species
CUACAUUAGAUACCCCCGUAGUCCCAGCCGUAAACUAUGCUCGCUAGGUGUCAGGCAUGGCGCGACCGUGUCUGGUGCCGCAGGGAAGCCGUGAAGCGAGCCACCUGGGAAGUACGGCCGCAAGGCUGAGACUUAAAGGAAUUGGCGGGGGAGCACAACAACGGGUGGAGCCUGCGGUUUAAUUGGACUCAACGCCGGACAACUCACCGGGGACGACAGCAAUAUGUAGGCCAGGCUGAAGACCUUGCCUGAAUCGCUG